CCCGGUACCCCCGCUGAACCCCGGAUCUCCCGGCGCACCGCGCUGAGGAUCGUUUCCUGGAGACACCCCCCCCCCCCCGGCCAGGACCUGAGGCUCCAGAGGAGAGGAGCCCCAGAAAUGUUACCGCCGGGUGGAUAAGCGAGAAUCCUUAGAGGAAAAUGCUCUUCCGGGAACCCCAAGCCACAGCUGACCGACCGGAGGGAGCCCCCUUGGAAGGGGCUGGCGCGCAGGAAAGCUGAAACUACAAGAAAAUUCUGUCAUGGUGACCAAAAAUGGUAGCAACUUUCAUCAUAAAAAUACUGUAGCACCUUUUCUCAAGAGGCCAGCUCCGGAGUUAACCUGCUUGGAUUCAGAACUGGCUGCACUUCUAACUGUAUGUAACUUGGGUAAGGUACCUUAUCUCUACGUCCCUUUGUGUCCUUAUUCAUUAGAUGGGGAUAAUAAAUGGUGUCAUACAGUUUUUUGUAUGAUUAAGUUAACUGAAAGUACCUAAAAUACUGCCUGGCAUACAAUGCAUUAAAAAUUAACAUUUUAUUACUAGUGUGGUUGCUAUUACUUAACUAUUCUAACCAGGUUUUAGUCUUGUUUAAUAACAGCAGAAAGUAUAAAACGAAAAAAAUCUAAUGAAAGGCAAACCAGUUGUUUUUUAACUAAGAUUCUCUUUUACAGACUGUCGAGUUUUUGGAAGGUAAGAGCUGAGAAUACUUUCUUUAGGACCUGUCAGGUUAGUUUGUUUUUCCUCUACGAUUUUAAAUCUGAUGCCCUGUCAUAUUAAAAAAGCAGAAUAGGCAGAAGUGAUUUUCUUUUUAUCUCCUGUCAAAAAUGGUUUUUUUUCCAAGUUAAUUUAAUUCCUUUAAUUCAAAUAUGUUUGAAUUCAUUUUAUGCCCUUUAAGUGAAACAUUUUAAGCACUUGCCCAACCUCCCUAUUAACUGUCCAAAAUGUUUCUAGAUUCCUUUAAAGCAAAUGUCUCUCUAUAAACAAAAAGUAGUAAGUUCAAAGGUGGUUGCAUUUGCUUUACAGGUUUCCCUGAUCCUAGCUGGACCCUGUCAUCAUGUGAAGUCUGAGCAAACUUCCUGUGUCUGGGAGUGCAUCAGAAGUGAAACUUGUGCUUCAUACUAAGAAAUCUCUUGAGAAUGGCUGGGUCUUGGCUCUUUGAUCUCACCUCUACCUCAUGGAAAGAGAAGAGCUUCUAAAAAAUGUGUUAGGUGGAUGAAUCACACCAAUACCUCCCAGAAGCCACCUGGUCACUUCACUGACUUAGUCAGAUGUCACAGUCACAUAACCCUAUGGGGAUCGGGCAAGUGUCCACCUCUUAAAACCCUUUAUCCACAACUUUAAUCACCUUUGAUAUUCAUUACAUUUGACUUGCUGCUCUUACUCUUUUUGGACAUAACCAAUGCUUGAUGCUAAGACACGAUGUGGCUGUUUACUUCAAAAAGGAAGGGAAAAAGGAAAAGGCUUUCUUUAAAAUUUCAUUUUGAGGGCCAGGGAUUUAGCUCAGUGGUUCCACCGCCUGCCUCACAAGCACAAAGUCCCGAGUUCGAUCCCUGGUACCAAAAAAGAUUUUCAUUGUGAAACAAGGUCUCUGGUUAGUUGCCUAGACUGGGCUUGAACCUGCAGUCCUCCUCUUGAGUAGCUGAGAUUGCAGGCAUAUGCCACUGUGCCUGCCAAAGGAUAUUAAAAAAAAAGUUUACUUAUGCAGAAAAUUUUGAGGAAAUAUUAAUUUGUAAGGAAAAAAGCAGGAUAAAAGUAUCCAGAAGCUCUUGACCCCGAAUCUGUUAAUGUUUGUAAGUUUGAUGAAGACAAAGUCCACACUGAAAUCUGUUUGCACUCAUCUGUUCAUCACAGGAAGAUACAUAGGAUCUUCAGCAAGGAAUACACACUAGGGAAAAAGCUUGAUAUUGCACAGAUAGAGGGCUUCAUGAAUGGUGGAUGGAAGUUCUGUAUCUCUUCCUCUGAUUUCUCCAACAAUGAAGCUCAGCUGAGAGUGUGUCAAGAUUGGAUUUUUAGCUGCGUUGCUCAGGCUUCCUCGAACCUGUGAUCCUCUGCCUCAGCCUCCCAAGUAGCUAGGAUUACAGGGAUCGAACUCGGGUCCUUGCGCUUGCAAGGCAAGCGGCGGAACCACUGAGAUGAGAAAACUGAAGUCCAACAAUGCUGAAGAACAAGCCCUAAGUAUCAUAGCCAGGAUUGCACACAAAUUUUUUUUUCCUUUCCAAAUUCUGUGCUUUCUGUAUCACAAUGUAUAGACUUUUCUUUGGAGGAUAAUUUAGUGAUGUACCUUUCUCUUCCCAUUUUUAGCACUUCACCCUCCCACCCCUGCCCGCCCAUGACGCCUGAGCGAUUUUAUUUCCGCAGGCGGGAACUGAGCGGGCAGAGGACUAGGUGCUCAGGGCCGAGGGGACUCCAGUCCGGAGGAGGGCUGGGGCAGCCUGAACUUGGAGAGGUCCAGGUUCAGGUCCAGGAAGGUGUACGUGCUGUAGUUGCGGCGUUGCAGGUUCCUGUAGGUGGUGUUGUCGAAGGGCUCGGCGGGCGCACGGGCCUGGGCGGACUUAUUUUUGGUGGACUCUGUUUCUUGGGCUUUGGCGGCAGCUCCUUUUCAUUCUUCCCCGACUGUGGCUCAGACGUGAGCGUGAGCGGACGCAUGUAGCUCUCGGGCUACGCCCUGCGCGUCCACGUCGCCUGAGGACCCGCCCCUUUUAAAAUUUAUUUACAUCACCUUUUAUUUACUAUACUCUAACCUCAUAAACUAUUUAGCAUUUCUCUUAUUUAGCUUUAUAAUAGAAUCCCUAGUUCUUUUAAAAAAACUACAUUUAACCUCCGUAAUUCUAUACCCACUACUUUAUUUGGUAGCCUUCAGUAACAUGACUUCUGUUUCCAUCUUUCCAUCCAAACACUCUGCAAAGGGUGGUUUCUAAAACACAUGGGUAUAUUUAAUUUGUAUUCCUACUGGACCUCACCAUUGUGCUUGCACUUUUUUUUUCCUUUUUCAGUAGUAGGGAUUGAACCUGGGGCCUUUAUGCUAAGCUAUGUCCUCAGUCCUUUUUGUCAAUUUGAUACAGUGUUAAGUCACUACAUUGCCCAGGCUGGGUUUAAACUUGUGAUUUUCCUGCCUCAGCCUCCCAGAGUGCUGGGAUUAUAGGCACCACCAUGCCUCUCUUGGUUGUUGGGCUAUCGACCACCUCUUGCUCCUCUGGUGGUUACCUUUUCUUUCUUUCUCUCUUUGAAUGAUCAACAGUGGAAAAAUUUGUGCACUAUGCCGGGAAGCGCCAUCAGCACUCACAGUUACACAGUGGUUGGACGGACAUCAGUGCAUUUCCUCAACUCUGAUUAUCCAAGGUCAGUUGCACCACCCAAAGUACAAGUUCCCUGUCUAUGCUAGGACCUAGUCUUUCUUCUUCACUUCAGAAUCCUCACUCCUUGGUCCAUCCUUGGUGUAGAAGGAAGUAUUUGUGAAGAAACUGAAAUAAUUUUUGAUAGGAGAUUCCAAACACAGAAGGGAUCCACUCCAUGCAGAAAGUGGCCAGAAGUGCUGGGGUUUUCCUAGGCAACUGUGAAGAGAACAGUGUGACUACAGCAAAGGAUAGAGGGCUGGAGGAGCUGCUGACGUGUCAAAAAGUCAUAACAGACUUUGAAAGAGUUAAACCCUCUUCUCACCCUCCUCAAAUCAACAAAAAACAAAGAAAAAAGAAGAGACAAAAAUGACUAGUGCUCUCCUCGGAGACACCAGGAAUUGUCUAGUGCCCUCUUUCAUAGCAGCCUGCAACUUUCACUAUUUUUGAGCUUUUACCACUCUGUAGAAAACUGAUAGUAAUGCAGAUGAUUCUAUAGAAAUUAAAAUGUCAGGUGAGUACCAUCUACUUUCUACCUCCUGUAACCUUGAACCCUACCCACAGAAACAUUUAGUUUUGCAUUUAUUAAUGACUUUAUUUCAGCAUUUCUCAGUGCCUAUGUACAUGUCAGUUUUAAACAUCUUAUCCGUUAUUCAUUAAUUAAUGAGCUAAAUAAAAUCGGUGACAUGUUCAUUUUAUAUUUAUAUGAGAGUCAUGACUUGAACUUUUAUAUAAAAAUAUCCAUUUAAAAGAAAGUAGAUGAACAUUAGGUUUUAAAGGGCCUCAAAAGCCUGUCUAGAAGGUUUAGAUUUCACAGUGUCAGAGGUUUAAAGGCUGAAACAAAAUGGGUUAAAGAUUUGCAGUUUUGGACAAAGACACUGGAGCACAUGUGGUUGGGGUGGAAAGAAAAGCUACUGGCCAUUGCCAGAGUCCGGGUAGGAGAAGGUGAGAGGUGUAAUAGAAUGAAGCACCUACCGUAGUGUGUAGAGUGGCGCCUGCUGCCUCCCAUACAGUGUGAACGAACUAAGGUACUAAUGAUAGGAAAGAGGCAGAUCAAGGAACAUUUCUGAAGGCAAGUCUCAAUUAGGCACACCCACUAUCUUCCAGACUCUAUAAUUUAAACCUUUCUUAAAGAUUAAAAUUUAGAGGCCCCUUAUAUUUUCACUGACUCCUAUUGAUACUUUAUUCAUAGCACCAAGUAACAAACCUUUACAACACAUUCUAAAAUUCUCUUUAACUUAAUUCUAUACUCACAUUUGGUUACAGAUUGUUUCUGUUGACUCAGAGUCUUUAAGCCACAGGGGCCCACAGUUGCUUUUCCUGCAGAAUAUUAUGUUCCCCAGAGAAGUAAAGGAACUGGUGCUUUGAGACAGUUACAUUGGAGCUCCCUAUGAACCGCUUGUGCAGUCUCCUCCCAAACUGGCUAUAGGACUUUUCAGCCAAUGGGCUAUUAGCAGGUAUAGCACAAGUAGAGAUUGGGUGCCCAGUUGUAGCUGGGGGUUGUCUUCUGGAACAAACCCUCUUGGAACCCAGCUACCAAGCAAUAAUGGAGUCUAGGCUGUCCUUUUGGAAAGAGACAGCACAUAUAGAAAGGAAGACCACAGGAAGGAGAAGGGGGUUCCCCAGCUGAGCUCCUUGCUGAAUGCAAGCUGUGUGAUUGACAACCAUGCCGCCAACACUCAUGGAGUAGAAGAGCAUCCCAGUCAAACCACAGACUCUGGAGAAUUGAUAAAUCACUGUAGUUUUAAGCCACUCUGUGUGUGUGUGUGUGUGUGUGUGUGUGUGUGUGUGUGUGUGUGUGUAUUUCAUACAAUAGAAAUCUGAAACAGGGAGAGAGCAGUUUGCCCAUGGGAGAACCAGGGAAGAACAUCUUAGACAAGUCAUUUAAAAAUUUUUCAAUGACCCCAGAAGUUCUGUUCAACUACACUUUCCAUCACCGAUAAGAUAGCAAGUGCACCCUCUUUGUGAGCUCUCUCAGCCUCUGUUCUCAGAAGCCUGAGUUUAGGGAGUCUUUGCGAGUUUUAUCCCUUGGCUGGAUUUCAACAGAGAGACAACAUGGCAAGCCCUCAUACCUAGCAGACUCUGGAGAGGCCCUAAUAAUUGGCUGCUUUUAUCAGUCAGAAGCAUGUAAAAAUUGACUUCACUAUAGCAAAAUCUUGAGGGGUUUAGGCAGCCCUCCAUUUUGCUAACUAACCUUGAUGUUUAAAACACAUAUAAAUAUGCACAGACACACAUCCAUACAGGAAAAAGUUUGAACAUGAAAUUAAAACUAGUGAAAAUAAGAUAUGACAACCUGGAGUGACUGCUUCAUUCUUUGGGUAUAUUUUUUAUCCCACUGAGAGAAGAUUUUAAUAGUAAAAGUUAGCUGCUCUUGGGUGACCUAACAAUGGUUACCUACACAAGGACGUAGCAAGCAACACUCACUUUUCAAUAUUCCCUGCCUGAAAUUGUCACUUUUAUCUCCACCUUUCUUCCCUUGCUCUCCCACUUAUCCACUUCCCAACAUCUGUAUCCUUGGAUGAUAAUUUUAAUUGCUUUGGUUGAAGACAAAUGUUUAGUUGCUAUUGCACCUUUGUUUGGCUGAGUGGGUAAAGGAAGCUGGGGACAAGUGCAGAUUGCUCAGCAGCUUCUGUUCAGGAAAUGUAAAGGAAGGACACAGCUGGGGGGAUGAUGAGCUACCAAAGAGGAUGAUCUGAAGUGCUGUUGAGGGUGGAAUUGUGGGAGUGAAGGGCUAUGUGUUCUCCACUUCUCUGUUUCCAUUUCUGUGAAAUCUCCAGUAAAAUGUCCCUACCUAGUGAAUUUAUUGUGGAAUUGAUCUGUUUUAAGAUGUAUUGACGUGCUGUAUCCUUGGUGUGGGUGAAGAAGAACUUCCUGUGGAGAACAACCCCACCUGGAUCCCAUGGGUAAUGUUUGUGGAACUGCUUCUGCCUGUUGGACAGCUCCCAGCCUGGAGACAGACUCCUGAGGCCAUUCCUGUUUCAGGUGUUCUACCCUGGAUCCUUUCCACCUGGACAAGCUCCAAGGGCCCCUACAGCUAAUGUACAUAGGUGCAAUGCACCACCUGCUGCACCUCGGGUCAACUGUCAUGGGUCUCUGCUUGUCAUGAGGGCUGACCCCUUUCUUCCCACCAACACCUUCUUCUUCCUCUCCAUUCCCCAUAUGGCAAGCUCUGGCACAAAUCUUGACCACAGACUUAAUUAAAGGGCAUGCCAUUUAACCUUUCUAUUUCUGUUUUCUCACUGAUAGAUAACUGUCACUGUGGAGACCAGAUAAAGUGCAAAAGCCCAUGUCUCUUCCUGUGAGACUGCUCCUCCUGCCUUGACCCCCUGCACUCAUUAGGUUGCCACUGGCUCCCAGCUGGUUGCUGGGAUGCCACUCCCUUGCUAAAGCCUAGAACUGGUAACUCCCUUGGUUUUCAGGCUAUGGCUCAGUAGUCUGUUAGGACCUUGAUUCCAUUUUGAAUUAAUGGCCCUCUAGACAAACUGGCAAAAAACUUCGUCAAAAGUUAAAAAUAGACAAAAUAGAAGAAUAAAUGCACAAGAUCCAAAAUAAUUCUGACAUUUUCAAAUUGCAGCAGACUUGAUGCAUGGUGGGAGGUUAGCAUAGCACAGUGGGUAAGAACAUGCGUGGGUCUGAGUCAGAAUGAUGUGAAUUCGAACUUCUAUUAACUUGGACAGGUAGCCUGUUCUUUUAUCUGUUACGUGGGUUAAUGCCAGACUGUCCUCACUGUUUUUGUGAUGACAUGUGUUCCAUAUGUCCAAACCAUGUCUAGAGUCACCACAAAAGUGGUGACGGGAGUUCCCAUGAGACAGUGCUCCAAAACAUCCUGAGAUGGGGCCUGUUGGUAUUUCAAACAAAGAAACACUGAACAAGGGGGUGAUAAAUCUAAGGCAUUUAUUAGGGAAACUUACAUACAAAGGGCUGAAGACUUCUCCCUGAUGGACAGAAAGAUGAGACGUUCUACCCAUAUAUGUCUGUAAUGCAGGAGCCCAGUUGUGGCGUUUAUGUGAAAGUUUAAGGAGUUUGUCUCAGGGCUGAUCUAGUUUCUUCCAGUGUUUGGGCAACAACCCAAACAGCCAGGAAUGUUCAAGGCCCUGAUUUUAGUUCAAGCCCAUAGGAGAAAACCUGCAACUGGCUGGGUCACAGAGCAGCCAAAGCACCACGUUUUAGUCAGGACAAAGAAAAGAGUGAGGGAUCUGGGGGACCCUAUGCCAUAAGACGAUGUACGUAUUAACAUUUGUUAAUAUUUCCAUGGACCAGCACAUUAUCUGCAGAGGUCAGUGACAGACCUCUUGUUAUCCUCUCCCAUUUUAUAGAUGAAGAACCUGAGGGAUGGAGAGGUGAGAUAAUCUUCAGCAUCAUACAGAUGAUAAAUUGUGGACCUGGGCUUCAAAUUCAGGGUAUCUAUCAUCAGAAGCCCUGCUAAGGUGAAUGGUACACCUUGGCAUCCUUUUCUGGCACACUGGGUAUGCUAGGAAAAGUGCCUAUGAUUAUAUUAUUUAUAAAUGUGCAUUGCCUGAAUUAGCAUCAGAUGAAUUUGUUUGAAAUUCCUUAAAACAUUUAAAAGAUGUCAAAAUAAGAGUAAUAUUAGCUAGCAGAUGCAAUGAACUUUUAAGAAGUGGCAAAUUAUUUUUAGUUUAUAUCUCAUAAUCACAUAUUAUGAGAAGACCCCCUGCUUCCUGUGGUUCGAUAUGGUCUGCUUAGAUGUCCUUGUGUGUAGCACCUUCCCACGGUCUCCUGGUCACCAUGCUUUCCUUUCUUGCUAGGCCCCGCUCCAGUCUUUGAUGGAGCCUCCUAGAAAGGCCUAGGAAGUAGGCUGCCUCUGCCUGGCUACUCCCCCUCCCAGGGCUGGUUCCUAGGCCUGUCCCCACUGCCCUUUGACAGACUGAAUUUCUGUCCUAAUGUACAAUCUGAGUGUGAGAUUUCAAUAGGCAGCCAGCCCUCAAUAAGUGAGAUUAUAUGUGUACUUGUUAACCAUUUCUCAUGCAUCAGCCCAUUUAAUUUUCACAGUGAUAGAAUGUAUUAUUCAUUAUUUUAAUCUUUAAUACACAAUUUUUAAUUCUUUGUUGUAAUAAAAAUCUAACUAAAGUCAUAGGCUUUAUUUUAGCCUGGGAGAAAAUAAAAAUAGUCUUUUCCUGGCUUAAGCAAAAUAUUUUUUACCUUCAAGAAAACACAGAUAUAUUUAAAUUCAUUACCUUAGCAAUCCACUAUUAAGAUAACCAAAUAAAAUUUCAGACUUUAAGAGGCAAGAGUUUACUUUCAGAGUCUCAGUGUCUUAGAAGAUUCCUUCGGUAGAAACACCAUUUGCCGGAGUGAUUUUGUGAUACCAGCAUGCAGAGGUAGAGACAGGUGCUAUGAGGUACAGCGAGUCAUUUGUCUCAAUUCUUCACUCCUCCCUGCACUUGGGAUCCACUUUCCUGCUUUUUUACGUAGUCUUGGCCAUGAGACUUGUUUGGGCCAACAGAAUUAAGCAGAAGUCUCAGGAGAGUCAUUAAGACUCGAACGACAGAUGAGUGGAAGAAUCUGAAAUAUACUGGAGAGUGAGGGCCUGGGCUCCAGGUAGGAAGUUAGGGGUUCUGGCUAAUCAGACCAGGACAGAGAGAUUCUCAUUGCCUGGGAUAUAACAAUUGUUUUGGCCCCAUUUUUAACUUGGGCCCAGUUAGAGAAAGCCAAAUAUGAUCCCCUGCCCAAUCAUGUAGGAUGCCCCACUUCUAGUCCGCUUGCCUCCAGCUUCCUAGCCAACAGCCUCCAAUCAGAACACACCUGAAGCCUUCCCUUGUCCACUCUGAAGUCUUCCGACUUCUCUGCCUGCCUAGGAGUCUCUGUGAUGGUGCCUGGCUCCUUUGCUACAUUUCCCAAUUUUCUCCCAUGGCUAUAUAUCUCUUCAAUAACCAGAAAAAAGAAUAUAUUUUCACAAGUGAUGGACUCCCCAUUGCUGAGGUAUUAAUUGAGGAAUGUAACUUUUAAUUUUACCUUUUGUUUUGUUAGAGACUUCUGGGGGUUAUACUAGAUGAAAAGUUGGAGUAGUUGGUUCAAUUCAAAUUUAUAUUUUUAAAUGUUUCUAUAGCAGUCAGAACAUUAAUUGGAUUCAGAAGACCUGAGAGCUAGACCUGUGUCUAUUCCCACCCAUCACUUAGGUUUGGAAAAUUUAUUUUAGCUUUGAAGCCUUGUUUUGUUUGACUAUACAAUGAGAGGGAAUAAUUCAUUUAAUCUUUUUAAUUUACAAGGAUAUCACAAAGCAAAUGAAAUAAUUCAGCAUGUAGCAGAAAAACAUCCUGUGUGUCAUUGUUUUUAAGAGCAACACCUGAGAUGUUUAUUCUUGUACUAUACCCAGAGGCUUAGCAGUGCAGUAACAAGGCCAGAACACUGCCUCCCAAACUUUCUCUAGCUCUCAGAUUUCCCUGGGGCAGGUCCUCCUCUGACCUUUUAGAACUCUAUUAUGUUCCCUUUUGUUUUCCAAUGCCUGUGGUACAUCUCAGGCUCCCAGCAUUACAUUUUAUUUCCAUGGGCAGGAGCCAUGUCUAGUCCCGCAUUUGAUUGAUCAUAAAAGGUUGUUGGUAUCUAAUUGAUGUAAAAAGAGACCUGUAGAGCUGCUUCGUUUCUCAUGUUUGUUCUGACUUGACUUGAAAUAAUUUGAGCCUGAGUUAGAGACCUUCUCUGGAACCCUGUGAAAUUUUCUGGGAAUAGUCUAGAUUACUUCACCAGACAACAGUUAAAGUAAGGAUGACAAGACAGAGUUGAGAAGCUGGUGAAAAGAGGUAGUUGACAUGUUUGAAUGAGAUGGAGUCUGGGGUGAAACACUUGGUCUCUACAGUAAACUCUGCUACCACUAGCAUGUUGGCAGACUCUUAGUCUCCCCAACUUGAUCAAAGACUCUGGGCUCUUUAAGGUUCCUUUGGGAGCUACUAUUUUCUUUGAACAUGAUGAACAUGAUUUCAAGUUAAUGACCUAGGCUCUGGUGUUGGGUCUUGGGGAAAUUGUUUCAUGUCACUGACCCUCAGAGUUUGCAUCUGUAAAACAAAGAUAAUAAUAUUUGUACCAUGAAGAUUAUUGUAAGGAAUAAGGGAGAUAAAGCAUACAUAAUAUACAUGGCUCUGUCUAGGGUAGUAAAAACAAAAGCUAAGAUAGUUGCAUGUAGCACUCAGCUUUUCAAUUACUGGAACAAAAUACCUGGCAUCCACAUCUUGAAGAAGAAGUUGAGUUUUGUUCACAGUUUCAAAUGGUUUAGUCCAUGGUUGGCUGGCUCCAAGACAGGAACAUCACAGUACAAGAGCAUGGUGGAACACAUUGUUUAGUUCACAGUGCCCAGGAAACAGAGCAAGGGGAAGAGCAGCACCAAGAGAUAUGCCCUUCAAAGGCACACCCACCCAUGACCCAUCUCCAGCUGGGCCACCUCCUAACAGCACAUCCAGCUAUGAACAUCAGUCCUAUGAUCUGAUAAUCUAUUUAGCGGUCUCAAUCCAAUCACGUUAAUAAUUAAGUUUAACUGUCACGGUGCAGUCUGGUCAACAUCUGAAAAUUUUCUGUGUGAGAUUCAGAGAUCAAAUUUGAUGAGCUGCAUUUUGCCUUAAAGACACAAAUCCUGCAACCUACAACUUCCAGAUAAAGACUGCUGUUCCAGAAGAAUGUGCUUUACAAGACUUCAGAUUGUGACAGUUUCUAAUCCUGGAACUUCUGCUGCCCCACUGACUGGUUCAAAGGACUUACUUCUUACUGAUGACCCACUCACAAUAUCCCCUUAGCAAGCAGUCAUGUAUAAACAGAAUCCAGCACUUGUCUAAAUUUGUUCAAAAGAAGUUACGUAAUAACAAAGCCAACAGAAAAUUAUUCAAAGUAAGUCACUUUACCUCAUCCCAUUAGUCCCCCUCUUUGUCUUUAAAAAAUAAUCUUCCUUACCUUUGAGGGGGCACUUGUACAAUUUCUAAAGAAAUCUUAGCCAGUUAAUGUUUUUCAUGCAGAUUCAUCGACCUCUGCAUGAAUGAAGAGACAGAGGACAAGCAAGAACACUUUGAGAACCUACUGGGUACUGUAAACCAACAAAUUAUAAGCAAGGUUAAAAUAAAAGCAAAGACCAUUUUCAUACAGGUACCAAAUAGAUUUGUGUGGUGGAUAAACUAAUGGUCAACUUGGAACACUCAGCUGAACGGAAUCAGCAUGGUUCUGGGCUUGGAAGACCCACCUGAGGAUUGUUGCUAAUGGCAUAAAAAGAGAACUAGAGGGAAAGAUCAUUUGCUAUUGAUUAUCUUGGAGAAGCUUGCUGAGGCUGGUUUUCCUGAUAUAAACUUGGCUGUUCUCAUCAGAGGAGGAGCUUGAGUCCUGUCACCUUGGAUGGCUACUGUUCUUGUCAGGGGAGCUCUGAUCUUCACCUUGAGCGUCACUUCCUGGGUCCAGUGCAGAUCCCUCAGCCUAGUGUCACAGAUCCUUCACCCUGUUGACGCAGACUUUCUAGCUUCCACCACUGGCCUUUGGACCUUCUCAGUGCAGAUCCUUGAUAUGGACUUGCAUGAGACAUUGCCUUGGGCUCUGGGCCUUCAGUGGGACUCAUGGAGGACAUUGCCAUAGAACCCAGACUGUUGACUGGAUUCUUCAUGUCUCUGUUGUGUGGACAGAUCUCUUGCCCUCCUUUGCAUUUGACUUUUUAGGUGAAUAUUUUAAAAUAAUCCUGUAGAGCACAGGUCCUGGCAACAGGGCUGUGAAUGGCUGGCGCUUGCUUUCAAAGGUCACCCUCGAAGCAGAGCCAAUGGCCAUGUUCGGAGGCUAGGGAACCACCAGGAGGUGGAGGGGUCACCCAGAGAUGAACUUCAGCAAGCAGAUUGAGCAAUACUCCCUGAGUGCCAGGCAGACACUGACCUCUUCCCACGAAUACUAUAACCAAGAAUAUGUCCUGUCUUCCUGAGGUAUGCAGUGCCAUGAGGAAACAAAGCAUGAACAGAAACUAUUUUAUUGGGCAAGUGAAAUGAAUGGAUACUUCACAGAGGAAGAAAUACAAAUGGCCAACAAAUAUAUGAAAAAAUAUUCAACAUCUCUGGUCAUUAGAGAAAUGCAGAUUAAACCAAUCCUAAGAUUCCAUAUUACUCCAGAAAGAAUGGCAAUCAUCAAGAAAUCAAAAAAUAACAAAUACUAUUGAGGCUGUGGUGAAAAAGGAACCCUCCUACCCUGAAAAAGGAAACCUCCCACACUGUUGUUGGGAAUGUAAACUUAUAUAAGCAUGAUGAAAUCGAUAUGGAGAUUUCUCAAAGAACUAAAAUUAGAAAUUCCGUAUGACCCAGCUUCCUCCUUCUAGUUAUCUUCCCCAAAAAGCUUAAGACAUCAUACUACAGCAAUACUCUAUGUGAACACCAAUGUUUAUAACAGCACAAUUCAUAAUGAAUAAAUCCUGGAAGCAGCCUGUA